rnacentral:other from 1 species
AAUAGUCUGAAAUGCGCGUAAAAGCGAGCGGAUGUUUAACCCUAACUUAUAAUAAGGGAUAACAAGGUUCGCAAGGCGGCUGUCAAGCCCCCUAUAUUCAGUAUAGCCAGGGGAAGGCAAAAGGUUGCGACCGUUAACCCACCUGCUGUCUGCGGGUUUAUAAUCCUCGUGUAUACGGCAUUUCGGAUAUUC